GACGUAGGGUGCAAGCGUUGUCCGGAAUUAUUGGGCGUAAAGAGCUCGUAGGCGGUCUGUUGCGUCGGCUGUGAAAACCCAGGGCUCAACCCUGGGCCUGCAUUCGAUACGGGCAGACUAGAGUUCGGUAGGGGAGACUGGAAUUCCUGGUGUAGCGGUGAAAUGCGCAGAUAUCAGGAGGAACACCGGUGGCGAAGGCGGGUCUCUGGGCCGAAACUGACGCUGAGGAGCGAAAGCGUGGGGAGCAAACAGG
rnacentral:rRNA from 1 species